GACGAACGCUGGCGGCGUGCCUAAUACAUGCAAGUUGAGCGCUGGCGCAUUGUACUUGUACCCACUGGAUGAGCAGCGAACGGACGGGUAACGCGUGCGGCAUCUGCUUUUGUUUGGGGGGCAACAUCUGGAAACGAAUGCUAAUACUGCAUCAAACCUUUAACCACAAGUAUUAAGUUUUAUUGAUGCAUUUGCAUCACUCAUAGAUGAUUCUGCGUUGUAUUAGCUAGCUGGUGAGGUAAAGGCUCAACCAGGCGAAGAUACAUAGCCGACCUGAGAGGGUGGUCGGCCACAUUGGGACUGAGACAAGGCCCAAACCCCCACGGGGAGCAGGCGGAGGGAAACUUCGGACAUGGGGGAAAAUCCGACCCAGCAACGCCGGGGUAGUGGAGAAAGUUUUCGGAUCGGAAAACUCUGUUGGUAGGGAAGAACGUUGGUGAGAGUGGAAAGCUCAUCAAGUGACGGUAACUAACCAGAAAGCAACGGCUAACUACGUG
rnacentral:rRNA from 1 species